AAUGAUGGAAUGACUCUCGGCAACGGAUAUCUCGGCUCUCGCAUCGAUGAAGAACGUAGCGAAAUGCGAUACGUGGUGUGAAUUGCAGAAUCCCGUGAACCAUCGAGUUUUUGAACGCAAGUUGCGCCCGAGGCCAUUUGGCUGAGGGCACGCCUGCCUGGGCGUCAGUU
rnacentral:rRNA from 6 species